CCCUUAGAUGUUCUGGGCCGCACGCGCGCUACACUGACGCAUGCAACGAGCUUAUAAUAACCUUGGCCGAAAGGUCUGGGUAAUCUCCAAAUUUCGUCGUGAUGGGGAUAGAUUAUUGCAAUUAUUAAUCUUCAACGAGGAAUGCCUAGUAAGCGCAAGUCAUCAGCUUGCGUUGAUUACGUCCCUGCCCUUUGUACACACCGCCCGUCGCUCCUACCGAUUGAAUGGUCCGGUGAAGCGUUCGGACCGUGGCCUUUGGACGGUUCGCCGUCUGUUGGCUGCGGGAAGUUCGUUAAACCUUAUCAUUUAGAGGAAGGAGAAGUCGUAACA
rnacentral:rRNA from 1 species